UCUCCGUAGGUGAACCUGCGGAGGGAUCAUUAAGAGAAGAGUUUGCAAGGACUCGGAAACCAUCGCGAAACAUACCCCGUCAGUCGUUGCUUCGGCGGGCGGCCCCGGGCGGGGCCGCAGCCCGAGAGGGCGCCCGCCGGAGGACGCCAAAACACCCUGUUUUCUUAGCGUCUCCUCUGAGUCUAUUAGCGAAAUAAGUCAAACCUUUCAACAACGGAUCUCUUGGUUCUG
rnacentral:misc_RNA from 1 species